UCUUUGGCCCUUCAUGCAAAUAACAUUUCUGAACCUGCCUCAGCCGUAAUAGAGUCAACGUGCACUCCAGCCAUGAUAAGCUUCCCGAUUCCCACCUACUUAAUUUCACUGAGAAGUGAGUUGAACCUCGGGUGCUUUGAGGCAACUGGUUGGGAGUGAACCAUCUUUCCCUCUAGUAUGUCCGUCUCCCCCAGGCUGUGUGGGUCCUGUCUCUGAUAAGCCACAGGCAUGUGUUUAUGUGAAGACUUGAUGAUUAGCAGCAGACUUCUUUAAAUAGCUUUUUAAAUGACGUCUCACAGUCCUAGAAUCAUCACGAACUUGAUGAGACGACCCAAGGUUUUACUUCUCUAUACUUUGACAAAGGGAAAGGUUACCGCCUCAUGUAUCUGCCCACUUAGGGGAUCACGAAAGUCUCCAAAGGCCAGUGCCACACCACUUUGGAUUCUUGUGAUUAUGAUGUCAUUGCCAUGAUCUUCUGACUGGUGAAGACUACCUGCCACGUCUGUAAGAGGCAGGAGCUACUGAAUUCAUGGGCAUGAAAAAACCCAGCUGCCCUCCCUAGGGAUCCUGUAGUGUGAGCAGUGAUGAGAUGAGCCAAGAUGGAGGCCGAUGUCAGAUCUAACUUGGCUUAACCCCUGGCCCACCCCAUCCCACCCUUGUUUCCUCCCCUCUCUUCAAGCCCUGCCCACAUGGCGAGCGCCUGUGCAUUCGGCAUUCUGUCGUCUGUGGUGACACAGAACAGUGUGGAGUCCCACUCAUUCUUUGGAACAAAGCACAGCCAGCUUGGUGCCAGAGGUGUGAAGGUGUGUGACUCACUUAUAGCAUGAGUCUGCCUCACUUCCCCUGGCCUGUGCUGCUUGCUUGCUUGCUUGUUUCUGCCCGAGGCUCUGUAUGACUGGGGAGAAGCCAAUCAACCAUACCUGGAGGGAAGAGAGUACUCACUUGACAGUGUGGAGACCUGGCCUGCAAACCUGGAUCUGCCACUUUCAACUGUCUGAGCUUGGGAGAACUGCCUCUCAUGUGGGUUUCCCUCUCUCUAAGAUGUCUAGGUCCUUGGGGAUCUUUGCUCCUUAGUGUGUCACAGGCAUGAGCAGCAAUGGGAAGCCUCUGAAAUCUUAUUAGGAAGGCAGAGUCUUAGACCUUCUCUAGACUCACUGAACUUGAAGUUGCAUUCAAGAAGAUCCCCAAAUAGUUAAGGGAGUGUGGCCCCACAGUCCCCAUUAGCCUUUGGCCCUGGGACCUAAGGAGUCUCCAAGCUUUCUCCCUGUAGGAGUGCAGCUGUGGACUGAGCUUUGCUCCAGAGGAAUUUCCCCCAGUUUCCACAUGCCCUGUGUGUGCGUGUUCCUUCUCUGCUGUAGCUCUCAAAGGUAGCAACAAGAUACUUGAUAAAUUCCAGGAGCUCAUUCUCUAUGAGCCAACAUUGCCUUCUAUGGUGUUCAUCUCAGGGCUAGGGGAUGACCCGCUGGAAUCUGUUAUCACAGAUCAUUGGACUCUUGCUCUCCAAGGCCAUGGUCAGAGGCUCCAUCCUGUAAGAGCAUGUCUGCUAACUGGGGAGAUGAUUCAGGAGUCAAGCUAAUGCCUUCUCAGCAGAUGCAGUGUGAAUGCGCCCAACUGUCUUCAUCUUGCCAUUAUCACACUAAGAGCAAGAAGAAGAAGAAGAGUGCAAACGGCCUCCGGGAUUCCCUGCAGCGAGGGCUCUGUGUGAGGUUUCUGAGUCCAGACUUACACUGAGAAGCCAAGCUGCUAGUUGAGCCCAGUGAUGCCAGAAGAGUCCCUGGGGCGGGGCUAAGCCCUGUGCUCUGUGUGUUCCCUUCAGUGGGCAUUGGACUCACAGUAAACUCCUGGGGUAAAUAAACGAGAAGACAGUGCUCUGAAGCCAAGGGUACGAGAAUGAUCUGUCAUCAUGCGGACUCAGAAUCACAUCAUGUCACAUAACAACAUAGCCAUUUCUUUAUUUAGGCAACUGCCCUAUACCAUAAAAGCUAUGAGACAGCUUAAAGGAAACAUGUACAUUUAGGGCAUGAUAUAAAUACAAAGUGCAAAAUCAGACCAUGGGAAAUAUAAAUUAGUGGAGCAGGUCAGCCUGGGUUACCAAACAGAGCACACCUCUCCUAUCAGCCCAGGAAUGGUGGUCUCCAGUAGAUACUGGAGUCAGGCUGUAUUGGACGACAUGUAAUUUAGGCUAGAAAUGCAGUCUUCUCCUUGAAGUCACAAACAACACACAGACAGCAGAGGCCUAGAGUGCUUGUCAAAAUAAAAAAAAAUGCCUGAAGGUUUCGGUCUACCUGAAGCUCAGUGUGAGCAGCCCCGUGGCCUGGCUCUGUACCUAGGCCUGUGUGAAGAGUGCCAGCAUGUUCGUCUGUGAGGGGAGUCCCCUUGCGUGCACUUUAGCUGUGCAUUUCCAUCUCCAUGUUGGAAUCUGCUUGUGUGUCCCCUGAGUGACAGGAUGAAGAGGAGCCAGAGGCUCAGAGUCUAGUGAACGUCAGAGGGACAUGGCAGCAGCACUUCAUAAUGCAUGUUCAUGAGAGACCCCUGUUGGGUGUCUGUGCUUGAUUCCAAUGGGCAGUUCUUUGGAAGAACUUUGGCCAGAGGCUUCCUUGGUAUCGAAGCCUGUAGUAGAGUGGUCCCUUUAAAAGCCUCGCUGGUGGAACUUCCUGACUUCUCGGUCCCUCACAAACUUCCGGAAUGGUGGCAGCUGUCUCAGCGGUUUGGUGCAGGGUGCUUGGGCUCCCGAUAGAGCCCUGGUAGUGGUCACAGUCGUUUGUGGCUGUCCCUGUGGGUGAUGUGAAAGCUUCAUCAUUGCAGCGUCUGGGUCCCUCCCGGAUGCACUCAGGGAUGUGCUGCAGAGAGAGCCCGUCUUGAUUUGGUUCUUCUGCGUUAGACAGACCUGGGCUGAACAAAAGUAGACAAACAUGGGUCAGACAAGACUCCAUGGCCAGACUUGGGUCUGAGUCCCAGGACCUGAGUUCCUUAACACUCACUAUUUUUUCUUGAACUACUUGAAAUAAAUCUGAGACUCGGAUUUCUUCCACCUA